GAGGGAUUCUUGCGUAAAAUACAGAGGUAGCCAUUUUUCCUCUCGGUUCUACUGAAAAGCCAAUUGUCCCGGUGGAUAUAUUAUCGAAUAGAUAUUUGGAAAAACACCUUGAGGAUUGAUUAUAAACAACGUUUGCCAUGUUUCUGUCGAUAUUAUGGAGCUAAUUUGGAAUAUUUUUCGGUGUUUUCGUGACUGCAAUUUCCAAUUUCCAGUCGAUUUCUCAGCCAAACGUGAAGAACAAACGGGAGCUAUUUCGCCUACAAAAAUAAUAUUUUUGGAAAAAAGGAACAUUUGCUAUCUAACUGGGAGUCUCAUGAAUGAAAACAUCCGAAGCUCAUCAAAGGUAAACGAUUUAAUUUGAUUGCUUUUCUGAUUUACGUGACCAAGUUGCCUACUGCUAGCUGGACAUAAUGCUAUGCUAGGCUAUCGAUACUUACACAAAUGCUUGUCUUGCUUUGGCUGUAAAGCAUAUUUUCAAAAUCUGAGAUGACAGGGUGAUUAACAAAAGGCUAAGCUGUGUUUCAAUAUAUUCCACUUGUGAUUUCAUGAAUAGGAAUAUUUUCUAGUAAUAUUUAUGUCCGUUGCGUUAUGCUAAUUAGUGUCAGAUGAUGACAACGAUCCCGGACACGGGAUGGGUAGUCAAAACAGGUAUUAACUUACAGUUAGAACUCAGUAGUAACUUACAGUUAGAACUCAGUAUUAACUUAGUUAGAACUCAGUAUUAACUUACAGUUAGAACUCAGUAUUAACUUACAGUUAGAACUCAGUAUUAACUUACAGUUAGAACUCAGUAUUAACUUACAGUUUGAACUCAGUAUUAACUUAGGUAGAACUCAGUAUUAACUUACAGUUAGAACUCAGUAUUAACUUAGUUAGAACUCAGUAUUAAC
ensembl:lncRNA